rnacentral:rRNA from 1 species
AACGAACGCUGGCGGCGUGCUUAACACAUGCAAGUCGAACGUGAAAGGCUUCGGCCGAGUAAAGUGGCGCACGGGUGAGUAACGCGUGGGUAAUCUGCCCUUGGGCGGGGGAUAACCUCUCGAAAGGGGGGCUAAUACCGCAUGAGACCACGGCUUCUCGGGGCUGUGGGAAAAGGUGGGUCGCAAGGCCUGCCACCUGAGGAUGAGCCCGCGUACCAUUAGGUUGUUGGUGGGGUAAUGGCCUACCAAGCCGAAGAUGGUUAGCUGGUCUGAGAGGACGAUCAGCCACACUGGGACUGAGACACGGCCCAGACUCCUACGGGAGGCAGCAGUGGGGAAUAUUGCGCAAUGGGGGAAACCCUGACGCAGCAACGCCGCGUGUGUGAAGAAGGCCUUCGGGUCGUAAAGCACUGUUGGGAGGAACGAGCCGCUCGUGGGGAAUAUCUGCGAGCCCGACGGUACCUCCUGAGGAAGCACCGGCUAACUCCGUGCCAGCAGCCGCGGU